rnacentral:misc_RNA from 1 species
UUGAUUUUAGCUGACCAUGGCUAUGAUAGCCAUGGUCAUGCGAAAUUUUGUAUUUAAAACCCCCACCCUUAUAAUAAAAAUAUUUUAUUAGUUUAUGAUAAAAAAUAAGA